rnacentral:misc_RNA from 1 species
UUUUUCUCCACUCUAAACGAUUUUCAUCUUAUUACAGCUUAGGAAAAAAAUAAUUUGUCCAUUGUCCUCAUUUUUUUACAAAGAAAGCAUCUUUUAACCAAGCAUCAAUGCUAUGUUCUGCAUCUCAUGCUAGGCAUUUCAAUAGUACAGCUCUCUUCCUAGUGGCACAAAUUCUUGCUAAUCCAGAUAUUUGCUUGAUAUGAUCCAUCUCUUCUGAUGACAUCAUCUGUCGGAAAAAAUUCUUUACAAAAAAAUGUCAAAUUCCUAUGAUCAUAAGCCACCCUCUUUUGAUAUUUAUCCUUAGGGAACAGGGCUAUAGACCUAUUCUUUCUCAUGCAACAGGGCUGUGGACCUUUGCCCAAUUGCCUUGGUGGGAAAUAGCAAAAUAACAGCAAGAAAAGGCAGGACAGAAAGAGAGAGGGUAUUGAAACUCAGUCAAGCCUGCACAGCAAAUCUGGAAAAAGGUCCAUUUAGAUUGCUAUGAUAUAAGCUUUUCCUAUGAAAACCCAGCAGAAACUAAAGCAAGUGGACCUGACAAUUCUGGCUACAACAUGGCAGAAUCUUGAUAUCUUGUAAAUUUCUAGUGGAUUCACAAUGAGAUUCCACCUAAAAUUUUGCACACAUGCACGAGAGAGAGAGAGAGAGAGAG